rnacentral:lncRNA from 7 species
GCAGUAGUUCUGUGGCUCCCAAGCGCGAUGGGGUGGGCGCCUGCACAGAAGCAGUUCCCAGGGAGACGCUGAGGCUUUGCUACUGAGGCAAUGCUGGGCACUGUGUCCUCAGGGGAAGGCAUGGGGUGGAGAAGCAGAGGGCACAGUGGUUGGCGAGUGUCUAGAGGUGUGUGUGGUGCAGAGAAAAACUCUUAGCCUUUUUUCACUUGAUUUGCCAAAUCCCCAGCCCUGCAUCAGGGCUCCCAGCUCUGCCCAGCUUCCGGAUGGUGCUCUGGGAUUCAUCCUCUGCACUGCCUGCUUCUCUUUUCUAUUCACUGGAUCCCUUUGCUGUCCUAUGACCUGUCUAAUGCGGAGGAGAAGAAACGUGGUUGACUGCACAAAGAGGUUUCCCUCAUCCAUCAGUUCAUCUUCCCCUCCAGCCCUCUGCCAUAAAAUUGGCCCGUGAAAAGGAACACUGGAAGAAAAAGGACAAAAGCUGGACUAAAGUAAUCAAAGGAAGGGAAGAAGGAAGAGGUGAUGGGAGCAGCCAGAGCUCAGCAUGUAGGGUGAAGGGAGCUGCACCAAGCAGGAAAAGAUGCUUUCUGUCUUUCACCUGAUGACAAUCCCUCCUGAAGUGCUGAGACUUGAAAUUAAAACAGAGACUUCAUU